GCAGGCUUGGCCGUGGGACAGGGAGGUGCGGACGCAGCCUCCCUGCACAGCACCGCCUGCGGGCGGUGUAGGAGGAAACGCUGGUGGGGAAGAUGGGUCUCAGAUGUUUGAGGGACGCCAGGUGUUCGGACGGUUACUCUAAAGGUCUGGAGCCCGCGACAAGGUGCUGAGACCAUUUAGGAGCGCGCACCCCGGGAGAAGAGAGCAAAGGACUGUAUCUCAGGAACCUGGACAGUUGUGAUGUUGCCUAACAGGGAUCCUGGGAAGGAAAUGUGAAAAUGAAGAGCAGGUAUUAGGAGAAAUGGACAGACAAGUGUUCCAGAAACUGAGGUUAAGAGGGUGACCUAAACCAAAGGUAGCAAUGACUUCGGUAGGUGAAGGAAAGUCAGGUUGAAAUGUGGGUUUGGAAAUCGGGGAGCCUUGGGGAGAGUAGGCUGGCUGCGGGACGCGGGGAGCAGGAGCAAGACCAGGUCGGGCUGAGAAGUAAAGUGGGGGGCGGGUGAGGAUGAGUGUGGAGCCUAAGAUCCUUGGGGGCCGAGAUGGCGUUUGAUUUGUCUUUGAUUUCCCAUCGCUGGUACAGAGUAGUGUAGGUUCUUUUAGGAAGUCUGAGUGUAAAGGGAAGAAGAGAGCUGAGCUGUGUGCCGAGUCAAGAGGACUGGUCAAGGCCUCUUUCUGUCAGCUUGUACAGAGGAGGAGACUGGGUACACAAACUUGACAUCAAAAGAGAAUAGCAGUGAGGGGUGGAGGAGUGAGCUGUGAGCAAAAACAAGGACUCUAGUCACAGAGACAAAGGAAAGGAUGAAGGGUGGGAGAAGGGACAAGCUGUGUGUGUGACAGCUUUUGUUUCCUCUUGGGAAAGUGGGAGGCAAGGUUGUCUGCUAAGAAUUAGAUGGUGGACAAAUUGGAUAGGAGUUAAGAGAGUGACAUCAUUUAAAAGGCAAGUUGCCGAGGUAAUUAGGUGCGAGAAAUGCCUAAAGACAAGCCAUAGGAAUGGUAAAUUUUUGAGGUGCCCUGUACAAGAUUUUGUGGGGUCAUAGUUCUGCUAAAUGGCAUCAUUUUCUCUAGCAGUGAUCAGGUGCCAGUUAUCAGAAUGCUGGAUGCCAGUCUAAGGAGAUCUUCUAGGCCACUGGAUCCCAGGUCCUGCCCACCAAAACCUCCUAGAAAUCUUCCCUAAAUCACAGAUUCCACAGAAUCACUGCCCAGAAAUUCAGAUCCUGAAUCGGUGGCGAGGCCUGGAAAGCUGUGUUUUUAAUUAGCUCCCUACUGAUCCCCACAUAGCCAGAGGACUUUCUGCCCUCUGGAGGGAGGAAGGGUACUAGUGGAAGAUACUCAAAAGAAGUAACUGCCCUUGGAAACUGACCUAUGAGCAGCACAGAAGAUGAAGGAGAAGAGGGACAUCAAGCAGAGAAAUGAGGAGGUACAGACAACUCCUGAUUAUUUGUGGGAUUCUUCAAGGAACCUGAGAAGACAUAUUGCAAAAGAGGAGCUUAAAGGGCUGGUAUGCUUACUGAUGAUGCAUGUAGGAGCUCAGAAUACUGGGUUUGGGAAUAUCACUAUAAAUAUGAAGAUUUUAGAUUUUUGUGGAAAAAAUAUUUAAGUUAUUUAAAGAAUAAGCUAUAUCAAACUUGCUUAAUUUCCUUCAUUUUUAAAAAAAAUAAAGUUAUUAGAUUCAUAAAACAAGAGAAUGCUAUUGUCUGUAUAUUUAAUUUUAAGAAAUUAUUUGAGCAAGUUUUUCAUCCUUUUCAUCAAGAUAAACAUUGAAAACAUAGGUCAUUUCACAGCUGGUUAUAUAUUCUUUUUCCAAAGGCUAUUAUUCGCUGACUUACAGUUAAAAUUUCUGCUAAAUGUGCCAUAAAGUGCUGCCUUGUCUCUCUCCCAUUCUUCUCAAUCUUUAUUAUAUAAUUCAAGGUCAUGAAUAUUCCAUUUGAAGGUUUAUUUCCAUCUGUUCAGUACCAUCCAUAUCUACUAGCCUAAUUAUAUCAUUUAUAUUUUAAACAUCUAGAAAUCAACUCUAUAACAAAAAUGUCUAAGAAGUAAUAAUCUCAUGUACCAUUAGCUUUUUUUCUCUUUACAAUUCUUAGUCAAGCCUAAAAUGAACACCUCCCCUUUGAAGAAUGGACCCCUACAGCCCCUCAGCCUUCUUGUCUACCAUGUGACAGAUUUCUAUCCAGGCCACAUUAAACCCCACUGGUUCCUAAACGGACAGGAGGAAAACAGCUAGGGUAUGUCCACCAACCUGAUCUGUAAUAAAGACUGGAUCUUCCAGAUCCUGGUGAUGUUGGCAAUGACCCUUCAGCAGGGAGAUAGUUGGGCCUGUCAAGCAGAGCACCCCCGGAUGGUACUGUCACUGUGGAGUGGAGAUUCCUGAUCUGACCUGAAGACAGGCAUGUGCCCUGGAACAAGCAUUUUUCUAUCUUUCCUCAGUCCCAGAGGCAGGUUCUGGGACAGACUUCAGCCUCCCAAGAGGAUGUUACUGCCAAGUGCCUCUGCAGUGGCCACUGUGAGCCAGGCGGUGAGGAGAAAAUGAGGCCGAGCAGGGCAUGGAGGAGCUCUGAAUCCAGGACUUAUUUCCCUUUCUGGUGGAAGGAGAAGGGGUGGAAGUGAAACGGCUCAGCGGAACCAGAAAAUGUGAGGAAGGACGUCUCCGCGUCUGGGAAAGAGGCGAGAACCGACAUGGCUGAGAAAGCCCUAACCUAUGUGGGGUUCAGGGAUAAGAGGAAGAGAACAAAAGUGGAGACUUGAUAAUCACCUUCCUUUUAAUGGGAUCAAUUGGAAAUACAUCUAUGAAAUUGAUCCUGGAGUAUUUUUUAUUUGUAGUAACUUUUGUGAAUGGAUAAUUUUCUUCAUAAUUUUAUGUUGAUUUUUUUGUACCAUAUAAGAAUGCACUUGCUUAUUUUUAAGUAAUGUUAUAUUUUACCCUCUCAUUCCUUUGAUAAUCUUGGAGGACUCUGAUGUUUCCAGACGUGGAAUCAAAAUGCAAAAAAUACUAUUUCACUUCAAUUACUACUUUUAUUUCUUCUUGAAAUUUUUAUCUUCUUUAUACAAGAUUAAUAUUUUACUACUUAGUCUAAAAUUAACUCUGCUUUAUAAUUCUUUUUUUUUUUUUUUUUUUUUUUUUUAAUAAAU